rnacentral:ncRNA from 1 species
AAAACCAUCCUAGUGGAUCCGUGUGGUAAGGAAAGGACGCACCUCUGGUGUACCAGUUAUCGUGCCUACGGUAAAUGCUGGGUAGCCAAGUGCGGAGAGGAUAACUGCUGAAAUCAUAUAAGUAGUAAGCCCACCCCAAGAUGAGUGCUCUCUCCUCCGACUUCCCUAGAGCCUCCGGUAUCACAGCCGAGACAGCGACAGGUUCUCCACGCAUACGGGGAUGGAGCGACAGAAGUAUGGAAAUAGGAUAAGGUAGCGGCGAGACGAGCCGUUUAAAUAGGUGUCAAGUGGAAGUGCAGUGAUGUAUGCAGCUGAGGCAUCCUAACGAACGAA